rnacentral:piRNA from 1 species
UAUUACAAGGCCACACCUGGUCUGCACAA